rnacentral:rRNA from 1 species
AGCGAACGCUGGCGGCAGGCCUAACACAUGCAAGUCGAACGAACCUUUCGGGGUUAGUGGCGGACGGGUGAGUAACACGUGGGAACGUGCCUUUAGGUUCGGAAUAACUCAGGGAAACUUGUGCUAAUACCGAAUGUGCCCUUCGGGGGAAAGAUUUAUCGCCUUUAGAGCGGCCCGCGUCUGAUUAGCUAGUUGGUUGAGGUAAUGGCUCACCAAGGCGACGAUCAGUAGCUGGUCUGAGAGGAUGAUCAGCGACAUUGGGACUGAGACACGGCCCAAACUCCUACGGGAGGCAGCAGUGGGGAAUCUUGCGCAAUGGGCGAGAGCCUGACGCAGCCAUGCCGCGUGAAUGAUGAAGGUCUUAGGAUUGUAAAAUUCUUUCACCGGGGACGAUAAUGACGGUACCCGGAGAAGAAGCCCCGGCUAACUUCGUG